UCGGCCUCGCCGAUUCCUUCGUAGGAGGAGGAGCAUCGAAACCUGGUCGCAGAUCAGCAAAGAAAUCAUCGAAAUCCGGAAUAGGGACCUCGCUCGAACCACUCCCAUCGCCGUAAGCAAGGUUCGGAUCCCAUCCUGGAAGCAUAGAGUCAUCCAUCGAAAAUUCUAUGUCGCCAAGAUCGACAUCUUUUCCCUUCCAAGAGCUCGACUUCGGCACAGCUCUUGGAGCUUCGACGGGAUUCUGGUCGUCAGGUUCGGAGUCACUUCCCGUG
rnacentral:lncRNA from 1 species